rnacentral:rRNA from 1 species
GGUGAACGCUGGCGGCGUGCUUAAGACAUGCAAGUCGAACGGCAGUCUUCGGACUGUAGUGGCGCACGGGUGAGUAACGCGUAACUGACCUACCCCAAAGUCGCGGAUAACGAUUCGAAAGAAUCGCUAAUACGUGAUGUGCUGUCAGAUUGUGUUCUGCCAGUAAAGAUUGAUUGCUUUGGGAUGGGGUUGCGUUCCAUCAGCUAGUUGGUGGGGUAAAGGCCCACCAAGGCGACGACGGAUAGCCGGCCUGAGAGGGUGGCCGGCCACAGGGGCACUGAGGCACGGGUCCCACUCCUACGGGAGGCAGCAGUUAGGAAUCUUCCACAAUGGGCGAAAGCCUGAUGGAGCGACGCCGCGUGAGGGAUGAAGGUCUUCCGAUCGUAAACCUCUGAAUCAGGGACGAAAGACACUUCGGUGGGAUGACGGUACCUGAGUAAUAGCACCGGCUAACUCCGUGCCAGCCGCCGCCGUAACAC